GUGGUGUGCAAGCCUGAAGCUGGCCACCCAAACUCACAGCGGAUGUUAAGCUGUCAAGCUGCUGCGCACAGGCUCAGAGGGGUGACGCUGCACGCUGAGGAGCGGUUCGAGCUGGCGCGGUGCAGGUUGCCUUUGGAACCGGAUGAGCGUUUGAGCUGAGCCGGGUAGUAGGGAGGAGGCACAUGGGGCUGGUGGUUUCUUCCAUGUUCAAUGGCAUUUUCACAUCUCUCGGUUUCUCAGGCACCACAAACAGUUACUGCUGCAGAGUUUGACUCUGGAAUCCGUGCAGGGCAGAUGAUGAAGAGGAGCCUAGCGACUGCAGGAGCGAUCCAGUUGGCUGACUAUGGUUUUCCUUGUGGAGGAUGGCUACAGACCCCAUGCUCUCUGAAAGCUAAGUUGAGGGUCUGGUGCUGGGGACUGUUGGGAAAGGGACAAGGUUUGGAGUUGCAGGGAGGGGUUCAAAGUCAGGGUAGGGCAGGGGCUGUCCAGGAGCAGCCCUCUCUGGGUAGGUAA
rnacentral:lncRNA from 1 species